rnacentral:lncRNA from 1 species
GUCGGUUAAACAAUCUUUCCAAGCGCUGAUAUCAGUCCUGAGCAUACUGGAUGUAAUGAAGAGAGGCAAUAUAAGACCAAAGUUGAAGCUCUCUAGACGUUCAACCAGUUCAGAACCAAUAGGAGGUCCAUUGGGGAUGGCGAGACCAAGCAAGAAGGCUCCAAGUGCAGGAAACUGGUCAAGAUCGUACCAAUACAUACACGCUAAACAAACCAUGAUGAUAAUCCCGUAGAUGUACUUGUCGUCGAUGGGUCUCCCUUCACGUUUUCUUUUUAUUAUCUUAAACAUGAUGGGCCUCACAACAGCGAAACAAAUGGCGAGAUAGAAACCAAUUUCUAUAAGUAAACCAAAGCUAGCAAACGUUGGGCUAGAAAUAGGGACCAGCAUCACCACGUAGAAGAGUCCGAUCAUAUCUGAGACUAAUGCUGCGGAUAAAGCCACCCGACCAAGAGCUGAGUGGUUCAUGUCGAGGUCUCUCAAGAGCCUUGCGAUUCCCGAAAAAGACGUGAGGCUCUCCAUUAGCAACAAUGGACCAUACGGUGUGGCUAGGAGCGUUCGUUUCUCAACUGGUUUUAACAUGUAAAUCACGAGACCAACUAUUAUAGGGAAAGUAACCGCUGCCACUCCAGUUACUCUUGCCUUUGAUUCAGCCUUGAGGAUUCUCUUGAAGUUCAUUUUAACACCCUUGAGGAACCAAAAUAUCAUGAAACCAAAUAAUCCAAGGCAUCCCGGAAUAUCUAUUUUAUUUUUAGGGAACAAUAACUCUUGAAUAAUCGACUUAUCGCCCGAAACAGUAAGUAGAACGUUCAAGACUAACCCCGCCUUCAACACAAACAAAAUAAAAUUGUAUUGUCAGGAAUGUUUUCAAGAGCAGAUAAUUAUUAAAUUUUACAAAAUAAUGAGAAGAAGUAGAGCUCACAAGCAUCAUAGAGGUGAACUUGGGAAUCUUAAGUCACUAUCGGAGACGAUGGAUGUUCGGUCGAGAGACCAGGUACGGUGGAAAGGGAGAAUGAUAAGCGUGACAGCUUUAUCGAGAGCUAGCCAACAAAUAUCAUCUUGCAUGUGGUUCGCGUUUGCGAUGCAUGUGAAUGUGUCAAUGGAAAUGGAACUGCACACGUAACGGUGGAAAUGUUCGAAAGAGAGGAUGACGUUUUCCGAAUAUUUUUUCCCCGACCCGACCCCAAGUUUCUGGACUUUGUGUGAGAUCAAAGUGGGAACGUCUUGACCUUGUAACUCGACGAGGUGAAGUACGUAGCAAGUAAGAGGGCUCUCCUCGGAUUGAUAAGAAGCUUCUAGAAGGUUGAUCAUGGAAGAUAUGUGGUCUGGUCUAUGGAUGCAUACUAGAGUCUUGAGCUCUCCAGAGUUUUUCAUAAUUGCUAAGUUUCUCUUUUGGUAGCACAAGAAUUGCUUCGAGGGGUCGUAGAUAAAUCCGAUCGCUAUUGGUAUGAUCAACGAGUUGAGGACGAUGGACAAGACUAGGAUCGAGAAGGUAUCUCUAGUCAAAAUCUGUAUCAAACCAAUUAUAAGAAAAUGAAUAUUUUGUUUUGAAGAACAUAUACAAAAAAAGGUUGAUCAAGAAAUGGAAAUUAAAAAGAUGAGAGACCAACCUUGGAGGAGUAAGAGAAUAGGUAGAAACUUAGUUCGAUGAUACCCUUAUGGGACAUGAUAAGGGAAAAAACGACAGAGUCUCUCAGUGGCAUUUUAUAGAGGUAAGGUAUGAUCAUUGAGACAGAGAACUUCAACAAGGAGAUGAGUACGAUGAGAGAUGCAACCGCGAAUUUAGUGUGGUCGGUUAAACAAUCUUUCCAAGCGCUGAUAUCAGUCCUGAGCAUACUGGAUGUAAGGAAGAGAGGCAAUAUAAGACCAAAGUUGAAGCUCUCUAGACGUUCAACCAGUUCAGAACCAAUAGGAGGUCCAUUGGGGAUGGCGAGACCAAGCAAGAAGGCUCCAAGUGCAGGAAACUGGUCAAGAUCGUACCAAUACAUACACGCUAGACAAACCAUGAUGAUAAUCCCGUAGAUGUACUUGUCGUCGAUGGGUCUCCCUUCACGUUUUCUUUUU